rnacentral:rRNA from 1 species
GGAGGAAAAGAAACCAACAGGGAUUCCCUCAGUAACGGCGAGUGAACAGGGAAGAGCCCAGCGCCGAAUUUCACGUCCGCCCUUGGACGUUCGAAAGAUGUGGCGUUUAGGAGGCGGCGUGCCGGAGUCGGACGGUGCAGCAAGUCCCCCUGACUGGGGCUGUUUACCCAGAGCGGGUGCGAGGCCCAUAGUUGCACCUUCCGCUUCGGAUGCGGCCUCUCGGGAGUCGGGUUGCUUGGGAGUGCAACCCUAAGCGGGUGGUAAACUCCACCUAAGGCUAAAUACGGCCGCGAGACCGAUAGCAAACAAGUACCGUGAGGGAAAGUUGCAAAGAACUUUGAAGAGAGAGUUCAAGAGUACGUGAAACUGCUCAGAGGCAAACGGGUGGGCCCUCGAAAUCCUCCGGCGAGGGGAUUCAGUCGAGAAGGGCCGAGGCGGCGUUGCGAUCUUAACGGACCCGUAGUCGGGCCGGGUCGCCGCCGUGGUCUCGGUUCUGCCCGACGCAUUUCCUCUCGCCCUUAGGACGCCGCAGCCGGUUGGGUAGCUGCGAGAGUCGGCCAUGAGGGCGGACGAGGAAGGUGGCCGGUGGCGUUGCAUCCAGCUUCGCCGUCGGUUGUUAUCCGGUCCGCACCGCGGCACGACACCCGACCGAGGUUCGACAGGUUCCCGCAUGGGAACUGGCCGUCCCCUCCGUUGAUACGGAGCGGAUCUCCCGGGCAGGUGUUCCGGCGGGCUGCUUCUCCACUCCCCGUAGUGCGAGGUGGUAUCCGUCGGCAGCGUUGGCACCGGGAGUCUUUCCGCGGGGGUGCACGACGGCUUGCGGCGAGUGAGUCGGUCACCCACCCGACCCGUCUUGAAACACGGACCAAGGAGUCUAACAUGUGCGCGAGUCACGGGGUCUUGCUCAGGCCCAGAGGCGCAAUGAAAGUGAAAGUCGGCGUCUCGGCCGGCUGCGUCGGGACUCCCCGUCCAUCUUUGCGGCGGGGAAGCACCGACGGUCCGUCCCGUCCGAUUCAUCGGUGGGCCGGAACAGGAGCGUACACGUUGGGACCCGAAAGAUGGUGAACUAUGCCUGGGCAGGACGAAGCCAGAGGAAACUCUGGUGGAGGUCCGUAGCGGUUCUGACGUGCAAAUCGAUCGUCAGACCUGGGUAUAGGGGCGAUAGACUCAUCGAACCAUCUAGUAGCUGGUUCCCUCCGAAGUUUCCCUCAGGAUAGCUGGCGCUCGGAGGAAGCAGUCUCAUCCGGUAAAGCGAAUGAUUAGAGGCCUUGGGGUCGAAACGACCUCAACCUAUUCUCAAACUUUAAAUGGGUGAGAAGUCCGACUUGCGUGAUUGAAGUGCGGACUAUAUGGCGGAUGUGAGUGCCCAGUGGGCCACUUUUGGUAAGCAGAACUGGCGCUGUGGGAUGAACCAAACGCCGGGUUAAGGCGCCCGAUGCGAGACGCUCAUGAGACCCCAUGAAAGGUGUUGGUUGCUAUAGACAGCAGGACGGUGACCAUGGAAGUCGGAACCCGCUAAGGAGUGUGUAACAACUCACCUGCCGAAGCAACUAGCCCUGAAAAUGGAUGGCGCUCCAGCGUCGAGCCCAUACCCGGCCGCUGCGGCAGAACUCUUAUUGGGGAGRUUUAGGCCGCAGCGAGUAGGAGGGUCGCAGCGGCGAGCGUCGAAGGUGCCGGGCGCGAGCCCGCCUGGAGCCGCCGCUGGUGCAGAUCUUGGUGGUAGUAGCAAAUACUCAAGUGAGAACCUUGAGGACUGAGGUGGAGAAGGGUUCCAUGUGAACAGCAGUUGAACAUGGGUCAGUCGGUCCUAAGGAAUAGGAGAAAUCCGUUCCGAAGCGGGACGUUGUGAUUGUAACGUAUGUCCCGCUGGCGACCGAAAGGGAAUCGGGUCAAUAUUCCCGAACCCGGACACGGAGAUCGAGCUCUCGGGCUCAAGUGCGGCGACGCAACCGAACUCGGAGACGUCGACGGAAGUCCCGGGAAGAGUUGUCUUUUCUUUGUAAGGGUUCGGCUCCCUGGAAUCGGCUCGUCCGGAGAUAGGGAUGCUGUUCCCGUAAAGCACCGCGGCUCUUGCGGUGUCCGGAGUGCUUCCGUCGGCCCUUGAAAAUCCGAGGGAGAAUGUGUGAUUUUCGUGCCGGUCCGUACCCAUAUCCGCAGCAGGUCUCCAAGGU